AUGUCAUUUUGUUGUAGUUAGGAAAGUAAUGUUUAGAAAGCCUGGUGCCUUUAGUCUCUUCCACAUGGUGGUAUGAAGGUAUAAGGUGGAAGGUAUACAGUUUAUUAUUAAUUCAACAACGGUAUCAGAUCAGUCUCGGGUAUCGACAGAUACACAAAGCCCAGGCAUCAGUAUCGGGACUGAAAAA